AGAGUUUGAUCAUGGCUCAGGAUGAACGCUAGCGGCAGGCUUAACACAUGCAAGUCGAGGGGUAUAGUUCUUCGGAACUAGAGUCCGGCGCACGGGUGCGUAACGCGUAUGCAAUCUACCUUUUACAGAGGGAUAGCCCAGAGAAAUUUGGAUUAAUACCUCAUAGUAUGCAGAGUUGGCAUCAACACUGUAUUAAAGUCACAACGGUAAAAGAUGAGCAUGCGUCCCAUUAGCUAGUUGGUAAGGUAACGGCUUACCAAGGCGACGAUGGGUAGGGGUCCUGAGAGGGAGAUCCCCCACACUGGUACUGAGACACGGACCAGACUCCUACGGGAGGCAGCAGUGAGGAAUAUUGGUCAAUGGACGCAAGUCUGAACCAGCCAUGCCGCGUGCAGGAUGACGGUCCUAUGGAUUGUAAACUGCUUUUGUACGAGAAGAAACCCUCCAACGUGUUGGAGCUUGACGGUAUCGUAAGAAUAAGGAUCGGCUAACUCCGUGCCAGCAGCCGCGGUAAUACGGAGGAUCCAAGCGUUAUCCGGAAUCAUUGGGUUUAAAGGGUCCGUAGGCGGUUUAGUAAGUCAGUGGUGAAAGCCCAUCGCUCAACGGUGGAACGGCCAUUGAUACUGCUAAACUUGAAUUAUUAGGAAGUAACUAGAAUAUGUAGUGUAGCGGUGAAAUGCUUAGAGAUUACAUGGAAUACCAAUUGCGAAGGCAGGUUACUACUAAUGGAUUGACGCUGAUGGACGAAAGCGUGGGUAGCGAACAGGAUUAGAUACCCUGGUAGUCCACGCCGUAAACGAUGGAUACUAGCUGUUGGAAGCAAUUUCACUGGCUAAGCGAAAGUGAUAAGUAUCCCACCUGGGGAGUACGUUCGCAAGAAUGAACU
rnacentral:rRNA from 1 species